UACGGGGGGAGCAAGCGUUGUUCGGAUUUACUGGGCGUAAAGGGCGCGUAGGCGGCCAGCACAAGUCAGUUGUGAAAUCUCCGAGCUUAACUCGGAAAGGUCAACUGAUACUGUGCGGCUAGAGUGCAGAAGGGGCAACUGGAAUUCUUGGUGUAGCGGUGAAAUGCGCAGAUAUCAGGAAGAACACCCGUGGCGAAGGCGGCUCUCUGGGACGGUACUGACGCUGAGACGCGAAAGCGUGGGGAGCGAACAGG
rnacentral:rRNA from 1 species